AUUGAACGCUGGUGGCAUGCCUUACACAUGCAAGUCGAACGGUAACAGGUCUUCGGAUGCUGACGAGUGGCGAACGGGUGAGUAAUACAUCGGAACGUGCCUAGUAGUGGGGGAUAACUACUCGAAAGAGUGGCUAAUACCGCAUGAGAUCUACGGAUGAAAGCAGGGAAUCGCAAGACCUUGUGCUACUAGAGCGGCCGAUGGCAGAUUAGGUAGUUGGUGGGAUAAAAGCUUACCAAGCCGACGAUCUGUAGCUGGUCUGAGAGGACGAUCAGCCACACUGGGACUGAGACACGGCCCAGACUCCUACGGGAGGCAGCAGUGGGGAAUUUUGGACAAUGGGCGCAAGCCUGAUCCAGCAAUGCCGCGUGCAGGAUGAAGGCCUUCGGGUUGUAAACUGCUUUUGUACGGAACGAAAAGCCCCGGGUUAAUACCCUGGGGUCAUGACGGUACCGUAAGAAUAAGCACCGGCUAACUACGUGCCAGCAGCCGCGGUAA
rnacentral:rRNA from 1 species